rnacentral:rRNA from 1 species
UACAGAGGGUGCAAGCGUUGUUCGGAAUUAUUGGGCGUAAAGCGCGUGUAGGCGGCUUUGCAAGUCGGGUGUGAAAGCCCUCAGCUCAACUGAGGAAGUGCGCCCGAAACUGCAGAGCUUGAGUACCGGAGAGGAUGGCGGAAUUCCCCAAGUAGAGGUGAAAUUCGUAGAUAUGGGGAGGAACACCGGUGGCGAAGGCGGCCAUCUGGACGGAUACUGACGCUGAGACGCGAAAGCGUGGGUAGCAAACGGG